GAUGAACGCUGACAGAAUGCUUAACACAUGCCAGUCUUUGGCGAAGCUGUGCUUGCACCGCCUAGCCAAGGCGGACGGGUGAGUAACGCGUAAGGAACUUGCCCUGCAGUCAGGGAUAACAGACGGAAACGACUGAUAAGACCUGGUAAAGUCAGGCGGACUCAUGUCCAGCCUGAUGAAAAGAGAUGCUGCAGGAGAGCCUUGCGUCCUAUUAGCUUGUUGGUGGGGUAACGGCCCACCAAGGCGAUGAUAGGUAGCCGGCCUGAGAGGGUGGACGGCCACAAGGGGACUGAGAUACGGCCCUUACUCCUACGGGAGGCAGCAGUGGGGAAUAGUGGACAAUGGGGGCAACCCUGAUCCAGCAAUUCUGUGUGCACGAUGAAGGCUUUCGGAUUGUAAAGUGCUUUCAGCAGGGAAGAAAAAAUGACGGUACCUGCAGAAGAAGCGACGGCUAAAUACGU
rnacentral:rRNA from 1 species